rnacentral:rRNA from 1 species
GCUUACGGCCACACCGGCCUGAGUACGCCCUGAUCUCGUCUGAUCUCGGAAGCUAAGCAGGGUCGGGCCUUGGUUAGUACUUGGAUGGGAGACCGCCUAGGAAUACCAGGUGCUGUAAGCU